rnacentral:rRNA from 1 species
UACGUAGGGUGCGAGCGUUAAUCGGAAUUACUGGGCGUAAAGCGUGCGCAGGCGGUUUGUUAAGACAGAUGUGAAAUCCCCGGGCUUAACCUGGGAACUGCAUUUGUGACUGGCAAGCUAGAGUAUGGCAGAGGGGGGGUAGAAUUCCACGUGUAGCAGUGAAAUGCGUAGAGAUGUGGAGGAAUACCGAUGGCGAAGGCAGCCCCCCUGGGAUAAUAUUGACGCUCAUGCACGAAAAGCGUGGGGGAGCAAAC